GAAAAAGGUUGCACUCAAUGUUUAGAUACAAACUACGUGUACCAAAGCAACAAAUUGCUUGUUAUUUAAACGAUAUAACUGCCAUGGGUACGGGACAAUGAAAACUAUUACACCUUUGGUCGCAGCAGUUCAUAGUUCACAGCCGCUAUUGUCCUAAUAAUAAAUCAACAUUUGAAAUAAAUGUGUUGGUAGAUAACUGUAUAUUAACCAUCAUCAGCAACAGAAAUGAGAAAGAGAGAGACAAAAUUUCAUAAAACGCAGUCAAGAUGAAAGUUUUCAAAACUUUCUAUUAUAACACGCAAUUCGUUUUUCAUGCCUAAUUUAUUUCCUUUUUUACGUUUUUUUUUCUGUCUAUCUCUCCAUAUGUAAUAGUAGACUACAGACACGUAUCAUGACCAUAUUUUGUCGAAAUAAAACUACUAAAUUAU